GAGAGGAUCAAAUUUCAUAUUAGUAUUUUCACAGGGUACAAGUUUCCAAAUUACAACCAAACUCCACUGUGAGGAAUAUUCAAUUUUUCCCCCUAGAUUUACAUAAUCUAAACCCAAAUCACCUCUUGGGUUCUGAGUUAGCCAGUCAACAGUUAUAAAAAAAUUCCUUAAAAAGUAAAAAUUACAGAAGCAGUAAACUAAGCAGCAGCUUCUUGAUCUCUCUCUUGCUGUAGCCUGAAAAUUAAUGAAACGCAUAAUUAAUUCCAUCUUAGCAUUGAUGUUAGAGACUGAAAAUCGUCUUCUUUACAAGGAAUUGUGAGUCCCAUAUCAUGAUCAAACCCAAAUUCUUCUUCUGCACGUUGCAAAAGAAACUGAAAUUCAGGUUUAUUCAAGAAUGAAAUUGGAACGAUGUAUCUGCUUCUGUUUUCACCAACAUACACUACAAAAUGCCAUUUUGGGACGUCAAUAGGCAGCCCUUCUUCAUCAUACUCUACAUGUUUCUUCGUUAAACUCGAGCACCUCUUCAUAAUCUGCUUUAUAACUGCUGCUUGUGACAAUUUGUUUGAUUUUCUGAUGGCCAUUUUUUGAUUCUUAAUCAGUGAAGAAACAAAAAGGUGAUCAAAUUUUUUUCUAACAAUAAGACUGGUGUAGUGGGAAUGAAAG
rnacentral:lncRNA from 1 species